rfam:Loxodonta africana cont3.15371, whole genome shotgun sequence.
AGUGUACCCUUAUCCUCCUGACUUUUUAGCAGCUCCGGGUAAAUAUUGAUUUGCCCCCAGUUUACCUCCUCCCCCACUGGCCAUUUGGAGACUAAAGAACUGGCCUCUGUAGGGACCUGAUUUUAGCAUUACUUUCCACCGGAUUGCCUCCCUUCCCUCCUCCAAGUGGCAUAGUAAAACAGGGUGACAAAGAGACAGAAUAGGGUUCGAGGCUCCAGUUCCUGGCCUUGAGGGCUGUUUUACAUACGUAUCAGACACGGCUGGAGGCCAAGGUCAAGUUGAAAGUUGCAGUCUAGCCAGCGUGAGAACUGCCAUGCAAGCCUUGAGACCCAGGCGGCUUUGAAAGACCCUCUGCUUUCCUCCCCUCA